rnacentral:lncRNA from 1 species
GUUUUCCAGCCUUACAGGUUCAGGUAAUGAUGAAAUGCUGAUGGAGUUUCCACACCUUAUCCUAAUUACAGCAGAGGUUAAAAAAAAACAAACUAACAAACAAACAAAAAAAAACAAACAGUGGUGGCAUAGGCUAACUGGCUUUGUACUUACUGAAUGUUCCCACAUGGGUGGGAAGAUCCAUGAUGGACUAAUGAAUGCUUUCAUUAAUGAGUAAAAGCAAAAAUUGAUACCUUCAUUAGUAUGUUAUCUUUACUAAAACUUACAGGAGCAUUCAUGGAAUAGAUUGCUCUCAGGCAUAACAGUCUCAAAGCCCCAAGAAGUCAAGUCUGCUACAUGCUAAACGUGCUGACUCCAAUCCAAUGAAGUAUUUGAGCCAAUGUUGGACCUCAAAGCUCACAGGACCACUUGUGUCCUCACAGACAGGCUCUCGUCAAUCGCUUUGUGAGAAAUGUUACUCUCAUUGUUGUACACCAGUGUGCAUCAGAAGGCAGCCAGCAGCACGCCGGGCUGGGCGAUGUGAUACCCUUGAGCACGGAUGGAUGAGUGCCUGGAGGAACAGGACUGUGGCCUUCCUUAACCCUGCUGUGACUGCUUAGGCGUGCGAGUGCUCAUCAAGUGCUCAUCGGUGUGAUUUGGGACUCCACAACCAGGAGUAACUGACAGUGCCAAUUAAUAGGUUUGCAGUGUUCAGGAUGUCCAUCAGAGAGGAGUGGCAA